rnacentral:rRNA from 1 species
CCAGCACCCCGAGUUGUCGGGACGAUUAUUGGGCCUAAAGCAUCCGUAGCCUGUUCUGCAAGUCCUCCGUUAAAUCCACCCGCUUAACGAAUGGGCUGCGGGGAUACUGCAGAGCUAGGAGGCGGGAGAGGCAAACGGUACUCAGUGGGUAGGGGUAAAAUCCAUUGAUCUACUGAAGACCACCAGUGGCGAAGGCGGUUUGCCAGAACGCGCUCGACGGUGAGGGAUGAAAGCUGGGGGAGCAAACCGGAUUAGAUACCCGGGUAGUCCCAGCUGUAAACGAUGCAGACUCGGUGAUGGGUUGGCCUCGAGCCAACCCAGUGCCGCAGGGAAGCCGUUAAGUCUGCCGCCUGGGGAGUACGGUCGCAAGACUG